rnacentral:rRNA from 1 species
GUGCCAGCCGCCGCGGUAAUACAGAGGGUGCGAGCGUUAAUCGGAAUUACUGGGCGUAAAGCGAGUGUAGGUGGCUCAUUAAGUCACAUGUGAAAUCCCCGGGCUUAACCUGGGAACUGCAUGUGAUACUGGUGGUGCUAGAAUAUGUGAGAGGGAAGUAGAAUUCCAGGUGUAGCGGUGAAAUGCGUAGAGAUCUGGAGGAAUACCGAUGGCGAAGGCAGCUUCCUGGCAUAAUAUUGACACUGAGAUUCGAAAGCGUGGGUAGCAAACAGGAUUAGAUACCCUGGUAGUCCACGCCGUAAACGAUGUCUACUAGCCGUUGGGGUCCUUGAGACUUUAGUGGCGCAGUUAACGCGAUAAGUAGACCGCCUGGGGAGUACGGCCGCAAGGUUAAAACUCAAAUGAAUUGACGGGGGCCCGCACAAGCGGUGGAGCAUGUGGUUUAAUUCGAUGCAACGCGAAGAACCUUACCUGGUCUUGACAUAGUGAGAAUCCUGCAGAGAUGCGGGAGUGCCUUCUGGAAUUCACAUACAGGUGCUGCAUGGCUGUCGUCAGCUCGUGUCGUGAGAUGUUGGGUUAAGUCCCGCAACGAGCGCAACCCUUUUCCUUACUUGCCAGCGGGUUAAGCCGGGAACUUUAAGGAUACUGCCAGUGACAAACUGGAGGAAGGCGGGGACGACGUCAAGUCAUCAUGGCCCUUACGACCAGGGCUACACACGUGCUACAUGGUAGGUACAGAGGUGCUACACAGCGAUGUGAUGCUAAUCUCAAAAGCUUAUCGUAGUCCGAUUGAGUCUGCACUCGACUCAUGAGUCGAUCGCUAGUAUCGCAGAUCAGAAUGCUGCGGUGAAACGUUCCGGCCUUUGCACCUCCACCCCGCCCGUCAG